rnacentral:RNase_P_RNA from 1 species
GCGGAGGGCCGGAUGGCCGCGGCGGGGAUUGCGAUCCUCGUCGAGGAAAGUCCGGACUCCCUGAAGCAACGGUGCCGGGUAACGCCCGGGCAGGGCAACCUGACGGACAGCGCCACAGAGAACAGACCGCCCCGGCCUUGGCCGGGGUAAGGGUGAAACGGUGGGGUAAGAGCCCACCACGGGCCUGGCAACAGGACCGGUGAUGGCAAGCCCCACCGGGAGCAAUGCCAAAUAGGGACCCCGCGCGGGGCUGAUCCCUUCGGGGAUAUCGCCGCAGGGCCGCUUCAGCCCGAGGGGUCCGGGUUGGCAGCUUGAGCGGCGCAGCGAUGCGUCGCCCAGAGGAAUGGUCAUCGCCCCUAUCGGGGUACAGAAUCCGGCUUACAGGCCCUCCGCGCGC